rnacentral:misc_RNA from 1 species
AACGCACCUUGCGCUUUCGGGUUAUUCCUGGAAGCAUGCUUGUUGGAGUAACUGUACACUCUCAACCCCACUUUUCUUAAUUGAAAGGCAGUUUGGGCAUUGGAUCAUGACGCUUUGUUGUCUCCUCGGAAACAACUGCGUUGAAAUACAGUCAAGCUGAAACGCAUCUUUGAUGAAAACCUUGCAGGCUUCGGCUAUACUAUUGUUGUAAAAACUUCGGUCAAUAGUGUUGUAUUGUUACCAGUCGAUUGAUACUACAAGUAAGCUUACCAGAAACUUUGGUUACCUCUCUCUACUAUUAAUUUAGUGUUGAGAUCAUCCAAAACUUUGUUGACUUGUUCUCCAAUCAAGUAGGACUACCCGCUGAACUUAA